rnacentral:tRNA from 1 species
GUUUAUGUAGCUUAAUAGGUCUAAAGCAAGACACUGAAAAUGCCUAGAUGGACUCACACCCCAUAAACA